UAAGCGACUAAGCGUACACGGUGGAUGCCCUGGCAGUCAGAGGCGAUGAAGGACGUGCUAAUCUGCGAUAAGCGUCGGUAAGGUGAUAUGAACCGUUAUAACCGGCGAUUUCCGAAUGGGGAAACCCAGUGUGUUUCGACACACUAUCAUUAACUGAAUCCAUAGGUUAAUGAGGCGAACCGGGGGAACUGAAACAUCUAAGUACCCCGAGGAAAAGAAAUCAACCGAGAUUCCCCCAGUAGCGGCGAGCGAACGGGGAGCAGCCCAGAGCCUGAAUCAGUGUGUGUGUUAGUGGAAGCGUCUGGAAAGGCGCGCGAUACAGGGUGACAGCCCCGUACACAAAAAUGCACAUGCUGUGAGCUCGAUGAGUAGGGCGGGACACGUGGUAUCCUGUCUGAAUAUGGGGGGACCAUCCUCCAAGGCUAAAUACUCUGACUGACCGAUAGUGAACCAGUACCGUGAGGGAAAGGCGAAAAGAACCCCGGCGAGGGGAGUGAAAAAGAACCUGAAACCGUGUACGUACAAGCAGUGGGAGCACGCUUAGGCGUGUGACUGCGUACCUUUUGUAUAAUGGGUCAGCGACUUAUAUUCUGUAGCAAGGUUAACCGAAUAGGGGAGCCGAAGGGAAACCGAGUCUUAACUGGGCGUUAAGUUGCAGGGUAUAGACCCGAAACCCGGUGAUCUAGCCAUGGGCAGGUUGAAGGUUGGGUAACACUAACUGGAGGACCGAACCGACUAAUGAUGAAAAAUUAGCGGAUGACUUGUGGCUGGGGGUGAAAGGCCAAUCAAACCGGGAGAUAGCUGGUUCUCCCCGAAAGCUAUUUAGGUAGCGCCUCGUGAAUUCAUCUCCGGGGGUAGAGCACUGUUUCGGCAAGGGGGUCAUCCCGACUUACCAACCCGAUGCAAACUGCGAAUACCGGAGAAUGUUAUCACGGGAGACACACGGCGGGUGCUAACGUCCGUCGUGAAGAGGGAAACAACCCAGACCGCCAGCUAAGGUCCCAAAGUCAUGGUUAAGUGGGAAACGAUGUGGGAAGGCCCAGACAGCCAGGAUGUUGGCUUAGAAGCAGCCAUCAUUUAAAGAAAGCGUAAUAGCUCACUGGUCGAGUCGGCCUGCGCGGAAGAUGUAACGGGGCUAAACCAUGCACCGAAGCUGCGGCAGCGACGCUGAUGCGUUGUUGGGUAGGGGAGCGUUCUGUAAGCCUGUGAAGGUGUGCUGUGAGGCAUGCUGGAGGUAUCAGAAGUGCGAAUGCUGACAUAAGUAACGAUAAAGCGGGUGAAAAGCCCGCUCGCCGGAAGACCAAGGGUUCCUGUCCAACGUUAAUCGGGGCAGGGUGAGUCGACCCCUAAGGCGAGGCCGAAAGGCGUAGUCGAUGGGAAACAGGUUAAUAUUACUGUACUUGGUGUUACUGCGAAGGGGGGACGGAGAAGGCUAUGUUGGCCGGGCGACGGUUGUCCCGGUUUAAGCGUGUAGGCUGGUUUUCCAGGCAAAUCCGGAAAACUAAGGCUGAGGCGUGAUGACGAGGCACUACGGUGCUGAAGCAACAAAUGCCCUGCUUCCAGGAAAAGCCUCUAAGCAUCAGGUAACAUCAAAUCGUACCCCAAACCGACACAGGUGGUCAGGUAGAGAAUACCAAGGCGCUUGAGAGAACUCGGGUGAAGGAACUAGGCAAAAUGGUGCCGUAACUUCGGGAGAAGGCACGCUGAUAUGUAGGUGAAGUCCCUCGCGGAUGGAGCUGAAAUCAGUCGAAGAUACCAGCUGGCUGCAACUGUUUAUUAAAAACACAGCACUGUGCAAACACGAAAGUGGACGUAUACGGUGUGACGCCUGCCCGGUGCCGGAAGGUUAAUUGAUGGGGUCAGCGCAAGCGAAGCUCUUGAUCGAAGCCCCGGUAAACGGCGGCCGUAACUAUAACGGUCCUAAGGUAGCGAAAUUCCUUGUCGGGUAAGUUCCGACCUGCACGAAUGGCGUAAUGAUGGCCAGGCUGUCUCCACCCGAGACUCAGUGAAAUUGAACUCGCUGUGAAGAUGCAGUGUACCCGCGGCAAGACGGAAAGACCCCGUGAACCUUUACUAUAGCUUGACACUGAACAUUGAGCCUUGAUGUGUAGGAUAGGUGGGAGGCUUUGAAGUGUGGACGCCAGUCUGCAUGGAGCCGACCUUGAAAUACCACCCUUUAAUGUUUGAUGUUCUAACGUUGACCCGUAAUCCGGGUUGCGGACAGUGUCUGGUGGGUAGUUUGACUGGGGCGGUCUCCUCCUAAAGAGUAACGGAGGAGCACGAAGGUUGGCUAAUCCUGGUCGGACAUCAGGAGGUUAGUGCAAUGGCAUAAGCCAGCUUGACUGCGAGCGUGACGGCGCGAGCAGGUGCGAAAGCAGGUCAUAGUGAUCCGGUGGUUCUGAAUGGAAGGGCCAUCGCUCAACGGAUAAAAGGUACUCCGGGGAUAACAGGCUGAUACCGCCCAAGAGUUCAUAUCGACGGCGGUGUUUGGCACCUCGAUGUCGGCUCAUCACAUCCUGGGGCUGAAGUAGGUCCCAAGGGUAUGGCUGUUCGCCAUUUAAAGUGGUACGCGAGCUGGGUUUAGAACGUCGUGAGACAGUUCGGUCCCUAUCUGCCGUGGGCGCUGGAGAACUGAGGGGGCUGCUCCUAGUACGAGAGGACCGGAGUGGACGCAUCACUGGUGUUCGGGUUGUCAUGCCAAUGGCACUGCCCGGUAGCUAAAUGCGGAAGAGAUAAGUGCUGAAAGCAUCUAAGCACGAAACUUGCCCCGAGAUGAGUUCUCCCUGACUCCUUGAGAGUCCUGAAGGAACGUUGAAGACGACGACGUUGAUAGGCCGGGUGUGUAAGCGCAGCGAUGCGUUGAGCUAACCGGUACUAAUGAACCGUGAGGCUUAACCU
rnacentral:rRNA from 1 species